rnacentral:lncRNA from 1 species
GCACUAAUAUUCAUGAAUUCUUAAAAGUUUCUUUGUAGUAAUUUGGAAGUUAUUAAUCAUUGUCGGACAGAAGAGAUUUUAUUCAGUUGUGGAAAAACAUGGCAAAAAAAAGUUGGCUCAAGUUGUUGAAUUUCUGCUUCCAUUGAAAAGCUGAUUGAACAUGAAACUGGAGAACCUGUAAUUACUCCAAUGGAAUGAUUAUGGGACAGUGAAAAUCUGAUCAGCCUAGGUGGUUACUGCGUGAUGAAGAAACAGUAAUGGCGUGAAUAACGUGGACCUUGUCCAGUGUUUAUCUCAGUUUGCAUCUUGGUUCUGCAAAGCACGAACAGCUUAACUGAGUAUGAAAGGGCAGUGAACUGCCUAUGGUUUGCUUCUUUACAUGGUGAUUAAGAAUUCAAUAACUUGGAAUAUAAUUUUUAUGCUACUGUAUGACCAAAAUAUCCUCUCAACUUCCUGUGCUUGUGAGGUUUGAAGGAAAAAAAGGCCAUAUUCUUCAAUUAUGCAAUGGAUAACUAUUAAUUUUCUAACAUUUUUUUCCAACGAGUGCUUGCUAUAAAAAUGUAAAAUGAUGCCAGAAGCUUUAGCAUGUAUUAUUCACACAGUAAUUUUGGUUUAUUUCCUUCUAGACUUUUUCCCAGUGCAUAUUUUUUAGAACAGUUGUAAUCAUCUAGUAUUUGUAAUUUACUCUGACUUUUAAAAAAGUAGUGUUAAAAAUAUUACUUAUGUUUAUAAUAACAAAAAAAUCUGGAAAAAAGGUAAAUACACACCAUACUCAAUGACUCAUGGCACUUUUAAAGGUAUUGGUUAUGAAAACAUAUCACUUAUUUAACAAUCCCCAUAUAACUGGCUAUAUGGACUCUAUUUUCUGUUUUGUUAUUAUGAAGGAGACAAAUAUUGCAAUGCAUUUUUUUUUAAUGCAGAUAGAUUCUUCCAGAGUUUUUUUUUUUUUUUUUUUUCUUUUCUAGGGCCGCACCCGUGGCAUAUGGAAGUUCCUGGGCCAGGGGUUGAAUCGGAGCUGUUGCCGCCGGCCUACGCCACAGCCACAGCCACAGCCACAGCCACAACAACUCGGGAUCCGAGCCUUGUCUGCAGCCUACACCACAGCUCACGGAAACGCCAGAUCCUUAACCCGCUGAGCAAGGCCAGGGAUCUAACCCAAAUCCUCAUGGUUCCUAGUUGGAUUCAUUAACCACUGAGCCAUGACGGGAACUCCAGAGUUUUGACUGUUUGGAGAAAAUUCUACAAAGGAAAUUCGUGAGUGAAAAUUUGUAAAGCUCUUUUUAUGAUAUCUGAUGUAGAAAGACCUAUUUGUUUUCAAGUGUUGUUGACUAGCUUAGAAAUAAAAGGAGGUUUUAUUAUAUGUAAGCGACUUUUCAAGUUAACAGUAAGAAAGGAAAGCACAUCUUGAUGGCUGAAGCCAGGGACUUAAAUGACCUGGGCCUUUUUCUCACUGUUUUUUCCAAGGUCAGGUCAAGCUCAUUGUAUUCAUUUGCUGGUCAACUUUUUUUCUUCCUCCAAGAGGAAACUCAGCCUCUCCAAACUGCAGCAUUUAUACUAUCAAUAAGGGACUGGAUUUAAUUCAUAGAAGAAAUAUCCUAGAGAACUACUUUAAUCCGGGCCUGCCUUGGUCAGGGAGCUGCUUUGGACUAGGCCAAGUGGGGCAAGUGUCCAUAACAGAGAAUAGGUCUCAGAGGCCCAGGUCUUUUUUUUUUAAGGACCACAUCCGUGGCAUAUGGAAGUUCCCAAGUUAGGGGUUGGAUUGGAGCUGUAGCUGCUGGCCUAAGCCACAGCCACAGUAACUCCAGAUCUGAGCUGCAUCUGUGACUACACCACAGCUCACAAGCAAUGCCAGAUCCUUAACCCACUGAGUGAGGCCAGGGACCGAACCCGCCACCUCAUUCAUUGUUCCUAGUCGCAUUCGUUUCUGCUGCACCAUGAUGGGAACUCAUGAAUAAAUAUUUAGAAGCUUGUGCAAAUGUAUCCUUGGAGACAUCUUGUGAGUGAGGGGCUGUGGAGCAGGACCUUUCUUUCAGACGUUUGCUGACCAUGUGAUAUUUGGGAAGAACGUGGAUGAUACCCUGGGGAACUUGAAGGGUAUGAGCGAUACUUACUGGGAAGGAGAUGGGACAUCUAAAAUCAUAACUUGCCUUGUUUGUGGUCUGGGUCAGACGUGCCUUAUUCAGGUAUAUAAAGUAUCUGAUGUUGAUGAGAGAGUCAAAGAGAAUAUUCUUUCUACUUUGUUAUAGGUGUAGAUGAUGCCUGGGCUAAAAGAACCAACUUCAAGUUCUCACUCAAAUAGACCACUGGACUAUGGCAUUAGGAAAGGCUGAAGUGCCCCUGGAAACUAGUCAAAAAGUUUUUCAAAGUUGAUUGUGUGGUGCAGGCAAUAAGGUUGAUUCUCCAGAGAAGCAUUUUUUCCUUUUUAUUUCUUCUACAUCAAAACUGUUUUUCCCUCUGUUCUGAGUACGAUGCUCUGUUGGUUUACGAUGCAUCCUCUUUACAGAGGACGUCUGUUUUAUUUCUUUUUAAAAUUCCAUGAACCUUGAAAUAAAUUCUUUUUAUUUAGUA